UACGGAGGGUGCGAGCGUUGUCCGGAAUCACUGGGCGUAAAGGGCGCGUAGGCGGCCUGGUAAGUAGGGGGUGAAAUCCUGCGGCUUAACCGCAGGGCUGCCUUCUAAACUGUCAGGCUCGAGGACAGUAGAGGCAGGUGGAAUUCCCGGUGUAGCGGUGGAAUGCGUAGAGAUCGGGAAGAACAUCAGUGGCGAAGGCGGCCUGCUGGGCUGUUGCUGACGCUGAGGCGCGAAAGCGUGGGGAGCAAACAGG
rnacentral:rRNA from 1 species